UCCUCGGUAGCUCAGUGGUAGAGCAACCGGCUGUUAACCGGUUGGUCGCUGGUUCGAAUCCGGCCCGGGGAG
rnacentral:tRNA from 14 species